rnacentral:rRNA from 1 species
GACGAACGCUGGCGGCGUGCCUAAUACAUGCAAGUAGAACGCUGAAGAGAGGAGCUUGCUCUUCUUGGAUGAGUUGCGAACGGGUGAGUAACGCGUAGGUAACCUGCCUGGUAGCGGGGGAUAACUAUUGGAAACGAUAGCUAAUACCGCAUAAAAUUGAUUAUUGCAUGAUAAUUAAUUGAAAGAUGCAACUGCAUCACUACCAGAUGGACCUGCGUUGUAUUAGCUAGUUGGUGAGGUAACGGCUCACCAAGGCGACGAUACAUAGCCGACCUGAGAGGGUGAUCGGCCACACUGGGACUGAGACACGGCCCAGACUCCUACGGGAGGCAGCAGUAGGGAAUCUUCGGGAAUGGGGGGAACCCUGACCGAGCAACGCCGCGUGAGUGAAGAAGGUUUUCGGAUCGUAAAGCUCUGUUGUAAGAGAAGAACGGGUGUGAGAGUGGAAAGUUCACACUGUGACGGUAUCUGACCAGAAAGGGACGGCUAACUACGUG